rnacentral:rRNA from 1 species
AUUGAACGCUGGCGGCAUGCCUUACACAUGCAAGUCGAACGGUAACGCGGGGCAACCUGGCGACGAGUGGCGAACGGGUGAGUAAUGUAUCGGAACGUGCCCAGUUGUGGGGGAUAACUGCUCGCAAGAGCAGCUAAUACCGCAUACGACCUGAGGGUGAAAGCGGGGGAUCGCCAGACCUCGCGCAAUUGGAGCGGCCGAUAUCAGAUUAGGGAGUUGGUGUGGGAAAGGCUCACCAAGCCAACGAUCUGUAGCUGGUCUGAGAGGACGACCAGCCACACGGGGACUGAGACACGGCCAAGACUCCGACGGGAGGCAGCAGUGGGGAAUUUUGGAAAAGGGGCGCAAGAAGGAUACAGCCAUGCCGCGGGCGGGAAGAAGGCCUUCGGGUGGUAAAACGCUUUUGUCAGGGAAGAAAAGACGACGGUUAAUAACGGGGGUUCAUGACGGUACCUGAAGAAGAAGAACCGGCUAAAUACGUGCCAGCCGCCGCAGUAAGAC